rnacentral:lncRNA from 1 species
CAGGCCAAGCGCCAUACAAACUGCCUUAUUGAAGACCCUGGCUCUACUGGAAAACGAAUUCUUUUAGUUGCAUUCACCUCUUGCAAAGUCCUUGGAGGAUGCAGGAAGCUGAACUUCAGGGGAGGCACCAAGAGCGACUACCUAGACCCUCUCUCUCAUAGUUCCAAGGUUCUGGGUUGGGAGCCUGCCGACCUGGCGCCUUCUCGUCAUUCGACCCACAGCUCUCCCUCUGGACACUUUUCUAGCAGCCCGUGGGGCUCCGACAGGAACACAGUACCAGUCUUUCACCUGGAGGCCUGCUCUCCUCCACUUUCUUCGUGUGGUGGGGACUGCCUGGGCCCUGUUCCACUGCGGUUCCCGGGGAAAGGAGACUGAGCACCACCGCUCUGAAGAAGGAUACUGAGGGCUCUGCUGACAGCUCCUCUGCCCUCCCGAUCCGGCCACCUGCCUCCUCAGCAGUACCCCCGGCCUCCUCUGCUUGGAGCAGGAUCUGGGGAGCUGAGCUCCCAGAAGGCCCUUGAUUCCCAGGGCAACUGGCCAGUUUCCAAGUUUACCAACUGUUUUCGUGUAUAUCGACUUAUCUAUUCUCGCAAC